UUUGUCCCUAUUAUUAAAGGUAAAGUUCAUACUUAUUUUCUAUAUAUCUUAAUAAUUAUCCAGAGACCACAAUUGUCCUUUCAUGUCCCACUUAUUUUCAAGAUAUUCCUUAAAUUUCCCCCAGUCAUUCAAUAAUUCACUUGGAUUUUGUUCUUUCAGUUUUCUUGUCAUUUUGUCCAUCUCCACCAUGUACAACAGUUUAUGAAUCCAAUCUUCAACUUCUGGUAUCUCUUCCUGCUUCCAAUACUGUUCACAUAGUAAUCUUGCUGCCACUAUCAUGUAAAAUAACAGUGUCCUGUCCUUCAUAUUAACUUUUUGCAUAUUCAGUCCUAACAACAGCAGUUCAGGGCUCUUCAACAAAUUACAUUUCAUAAUUAAUAACAUUUCCGCAUAUAUCUUAGACCAAAAAAGCUUGGCCUUGUCACACAUCCACCACAUAUGAUAGAAAGAACCUUCAUGUUUUUUACAUUUCCAGCAUUUGUUUGACAUAGCACUACAUUUGCUAAUUUUUUCGAUGUUAAAUACCACCUAUACAUCAUCUUAUAUCCAUUCUCUUUCAAAUUAUUACAUGUAGAUAUCUUAAAUGUGUGUUUCCAUAGAAAUUCCCAUGUCUCCAUUGUUAUUUCUUUAUUAAAAUUUAUUGCCCACUUCACCAUUUGCAUUUUAACCGUCUCGUCUUCUGUAUACCAUUUCAGUAAAAGUUUAUACAUCGGGCAGCCCAAUCCUAAUAAGGGCACGGAAAGUGAACAGGAACCGAACUAAGGCUUGCGAGGGCGCAUCUAGCCCGUACGCCCGCGUAAGUGGCCUUCCGCCCGCGCUGGGACGUGGCGCUGGCCCGCCGGCGGGCCAGCACCGGUGCAAGCCACAGGCGCCCGGGCGGCGGCGCAGAAGUGGCAUAGAGCCCUACGCCGACGCAGGGGGGGGCGGGGAGCAAGGCGGGGUCAGAGUUAGUCCGCUCCCUAAGCUCCUCCAGAAGCGGGAACGCCCACAGCGGCGCAAAAAAGCUACGCCACGGAAAAAGAAGGCGUAGCCCAUAGGCGUCCAUGGAACGGCGAAAAAUCAGCCCCCUCUCUGAGCGCCUCGCCCCGCCCCUAUGGCCCGAAGGAGCAUAGGAUGAGAACUAUCCCGGGGACCAAUCAGCAUGCGCGCCCGGCGUGGACGAGCCCCCCUCUCUGCACCCAAUCACCUGCGACCGCGCCCUACAAAACAUCCGGCCAGCGCCACCCAAACCCCCAGGUGCCCUGACUCUGGCGCUCCCACCUGGUGAUGACCGACGGAGCGCUGACAGGCACAUCCAGGGCAUGGCUGCUCCCCCGCGCCCCGCCCUCCCCAAACAUCUCUGACGGACGGUUGGCUGCAGCCCAGGAAGCACCGUCGCGCCGCGGCCUGCAUCCCAGCCCCGCCCCUCCGAGCGGGAAGGAGGGCUGUGUGGAAUGCUCCAGCUCCCUCGCCAGCCUAAACGCAAGCCCGCUCUUUCCAGUGCAAUAAAACGAGAUGUACAACAA